rnacentral:other from 1 species
AACACUCUGAUUUGUUCGUUAGAACAAUAUCAUGCAAACCCAUCUCAUCACUAAGGGGAUCUUAUCAUUUAUAUGAACCGUGGUUUAUAUAUGCGGAACCCCACCUAACAACAUUAGGUUUGUGCAUGACUUCGAUUCGACGGCAACUCGGAGUUUUU